rnacentral:lncRNA from 10 species
CGCCGCGUCGCCGCCAUUUUUUAAAGGGUCCGCAGCCUGACUCUGCGGAGUAAGGGGGGGUGGAGCGGGGGAGUCGGCCUCGCCAGCGCGCAUGCGCGAGGCCCGAGCCGCCGCUUGGGUCACAGUGAAAGCCACCGUUGCCCGGGGAUGGGUCCCUGACACUUGGGGAAGUAGGAGCCCUGUGUGAUCGUGCGUCUGAGUCUGGGCUGAGACCAGUCCUGGCCAGGGCAGUUACCAGGACGGUCUCCGGAGGCCGGGAUUCGCGGAGGGUCCAGCAGCAGGAAGAAACCCCAGGAGGAAGAAACCUCAGACAGAUCGCCGGCGAGGCAGCGCGGGAUCCCAGCCUCAGGCGUGCGCGGACGGUGUGCGGGUGGAAACCCCCUUCCCAUGGGGUGAAGCGCAGUCUGCUCCAGAGACCCACUGUUAGGGUCGGGGAUGUCACAGAAAUUAACAGGGCAGCCAAUUCCCAUCCAGAGGGGCCCAGGAUGACCCCGAACCCUCUAGCUCAGCCCCAAGCUCGGGCCAGGGAGUGAAGCCUUUGUCCCCAAGCAACAGAGUGAGGGUCUGUCUCUAACCCGGUGGGCUCCAGUGAAAGGAAAAUGGCCUGGAGGUGCCCACAGGAGGGCGCCCUAGUUCUGAGACAGGUCUACGGCUCCCAGACUGCGUCCCCAUGAGUAACAGAGGGACACGCAGAGGGGCAUACUGAGUGCCUAUAGGGGACUCACAGACUGCAGAUGCACGCUGCGGAUCCAGAAGCCGGUCAGGUAAUGAGGUGCAGAGGUGUGGGGAAGACCUGGGUGCUUCCCUGGGUGCCAACCAGCCUAACCCGCCGGGGCCACCAAACAGAAGUGCUUCUGACAUUAACGCGACACACAGAAGGUGUGUAGGGUGGGUAGUGGAAGUGACCGCAGAGGCCUCUGGGGAUUGUAGUUUUGGAGCUAGAGAGGCGGGCAAGCAGUUGGCUUCGCCCACACGGUGUGCCUCUCACAUCUGCACAGCGCACACAACCAAGCUUAGGAGCCGACUGUUAAGAUGCCCCAGUGACACGGACAAGUUUCUCCUCUGCAACCCAAUGAGAGCUGCUGACCACGAGAGCAUCGCGGGACCGCCAAAGGAUUCUGGAAAAUGUGGUCCCGGGUGGCCAGUGUGCGCUGACCUUCACCUGAAGGUGAGCUGAGCUCACCAUGCAAGUCUCCACCCUGGGGUGCCCUUCCCCAAGCAGAUGCCAGGUUGGGGCAGAAGCAGUUCAGGGAGAAGCGAUGCGCUCCUGGGACUGCCGGUUUGGGGGGCAACAUCGGCCCUGUGUCCCCUAGAGUAGGAGGGUGUACCAGGAUGGGGAACCCCAAGGCCGUUUUCAGGGAGAACAAGAUUGGCUUGAGGCAAACUCCCGGAAUGGAGAUGGGGAGAGUCUGGUCGCAUUUCCCCAGGAGUUUAGGGGAUGAAGGCUGGACUUGGGUGAACAGCAAAAGAUCCCCUGGUGAUAGUGGUGGUGAGGAUCAGAGGCUUGAGCCAGAAAUUCCCGAGGUGUUUGUUUGUUUUGUUUUUUUUGAGACAGAGUCUUGAUCUGUCUCCCAGGAUGUAGUGCAAUGGCAUGCUCUUGGCUCAUUGCAACCUCCGCCUCCCAGGUUCAAGCGAUUCUCCUGCCUCAGCCUCCCAAGUAGCUGAGAUUAUAGGCACCUGCCACUGUGCCCACCUAAAUUUUUUUUGUUUUUUUGUAUUUUUAGUAGAGACGAUGUUUCACCACAUUGCCCAGCCUGGUCUCGAACUCCUGACCUCAAGUGAUCCACCUGCCUCGGCCUCCCAAAGUGCGUACGGCUUGAAGGAAACUUCUGGAGGGUGGGGUGGUGUUGAAGAGAAGGCACAAUUGUCACCAUUUUGUUCAACAUGGGCGUUUUCUUUGUGCAUUGAUUUGCAUUUUUAAAGGAACUCCUCCUCAAAACAGAAGAAGCCUAUAGGAUUUUAACCUGGAAACUACUCAGGGAAUCUGGAAUAUUCCUUCCAGGGAUAUCUGCAGCUGAAACCUGGCAGUAAUUUAAACAAAACCAGACAACUCU